rnacentral:lncRNA from 1 species
UGUCUUUGCUAUCGUAACAACGGGAAAAGUACACCUUACGUGGCUCAAAACACACAAAAGGCAUGUACUAAUUCUCUUAAUUAAUCAUGGGUGUGAUUUGGGCUUAACGUGAAAUAAACCAAUCAGCGUGUCACUUGCUCAUCAUUCCCUUUAAGAGCCAGGUGCACUCUGACUUUGGCAGAUUGCUAUUUUAACAGAGCAGCAGCCCGGACAUGUCCAACUGUAAAGGAGCAAAUUUGUUUUGUUCUGUAUUACAUUUAUUAUUAAUGUAAACGUUGGGUUUGUGCAUCGUUACUAAGAUAGCAAUGACUGUUGACGUCUGUCUAGGUUGUAUUCAGUCAGUGGUGCACCUGUGUUUUCCGUUGCCAAGAUAACAAUACUCCAGAAAUUGACUUGAAAACACCUCAUUUCCAGAUCACCACGCCCAUCAGUAUAGAUAUAUUCAGAAGCACUGUUGCUACUUAAAUUAAAUUAAUAAUCUGAUUAACAUGCUUUUAUAAAGCUGCACUACAGCUGCUAUCAGACUCUAUGGAUCUUUUGAGUUUUGUAAAUCAGUGUUUUUGAUUACAGGUGUGUAAUAAUAUAGGAGAAUGCCAGUGCACACCAGGAUGGGUACCACCUGACUGUACCACACGCUACACAGACCACAUCACCUAUAACAGUGGAGCAGAGAGGCUAAGCAAAGGUAAGAUCAAUUGCUUCAAUUGUUUUAUUAUUAAUAAAUUCAUAUUAAUUAUUGACUGCUUUAUAUAUUUCAGUGUAUAUUAAAUCUUAUAUUAAUUUAUGAGCUAUAUCUAAUAAGACUGUG